AUGAAGUUAUGUUGCUGCUGGUGAUCACAGGAAUCUGCUUGACCAUUUGUGUGAUUGUGAUUAUUGUUUUAAUCUGUUGUCAAACUCAAAGAACACCAUGCAAAAACUUUAGAGAAAACUCCUCAUCAAAAGCACAGCACAAUGACAUCAAUCUACCAGAUGAUAUGACAGAUGGAGAUCAUGUGACCUAUGCUGCCUUGCAUUUCUCCACAGAGACGACAAAAAAGAGAGAGAGGAAGACUGAAGAAGGUGUAUAUUCAAAUGUCAGAGAAUUUAUUUAAAUAUAAUCAUGUUCAAUAAAUUAUAAUGUAGUUUCCAAUGAAACAUGAUGUCAGAUUAAAGGUCCCUUCUGAGAAACAAGUACCACAUUUCUGUAUUAAAAAUAUUCUUAUUUGUCUGAUGUAGUGUUCUAAUAUUAAAUGUUUUAAUUAGUUGUAUAUCACAAAACAUCAUAACUAACAGAAAUAAGCCUUUUUAUAGGUAGUCUCUAUGGUACCUGACAUUUCAGUAAUAUUCUAAAGUAUUAAAAGGUUCUAUAAUCUAUA